rnacentral:tRNA from 1 species
AUCUAAUAAGCUUUUAAGCAUUUCACUUACACUGAAAAGACUCAAGUAAAUUACAAUAAUUUUUAUUUUUUAAAAAUAGUUU